UUGCAGGAGCCAAUAGUGAAGAAGGUAUCUGCUAAUUUCAUUUAGAUUUAAUUUGACUUGGUAUAGAUAUGUUCAUAUGUUCAAUUAACUCUUACAUCAGAUAUUGGCUUAGGAGCCUGGAUUGAAAUUGUAUACUGACGAGUUAACAUGUUUUGAGUAUUCCAAAAAGUAAAGCACUUUUCUAACAUGCAGCAUUACUUAUUUGAAUGUCUUAUUACCCUAGAAAUUAAAUGCUACUGAUACAAAAUUGAUAUAUUAUUGUGCUUUUGUGUGAGGACCUUAUUGAUCUUGUUAAAUUAAUUAACUAUAUUUUGCAGGGUUGAUUUUAACUAUGAAGAGAUAAUUGAAGCAACUUCAAUUGGCUUUAGUUCAGUGAUUUCCAAAUUUGUUCAAAUGUUGGAUUUGGAGAAGGGAAUGAUGGACUACCUAUAUGCAAAGUGUCAAGAAGCUGCAAAAAGGACUGUCUAAGGAACCCUGUGAAUCACUGACGAAGCUUACAAGAGUAUCACUUCUAGUAGUGUAUAGUUUCUUAUGGAUGUAUUUUUAACUUGUAAAUUUAUUGUAUAAUACAUUUAAAAUACAGUACAAGAUCAUAUAUGCACCAAUUAUUUCGUGCAUUUUUUUUAAUAUAGCCUACCAAUUUUGCC
rnacentral:lncRNA from 1 species